GUAACCUGCCUGUAAGACUGGGAUAACUCCGGGAAACCGGAGCUAAUACCGGAUAGUUCCUUGAACCGCAUGGUUCAAGGAUGAAAGACGGUUUCGGCUGUCACUUACAGAUGGACCCGCGGCGCAUUAGCUAGUUGGUGGGGUAAUGGCUCACCAAGGCGACGAUGCGUAGCCGACCUGAGAGGGUGAUCGGCCACACUGGGACUGAGACACGGCCCAGACUCCUACGGGAGGCAGCAGUAGGGAAUCUUCCGCAAUGGACGAAAGUCUGACGGAGCAACGCCGCGUGAGUGAUGAAGGUUUUCGGAUCGUAAAGCUCUGUUGUUAGGGAAGAACAAGUGCGAGAGUAACUGCUCGCACCUUGACGGUACCUAACCAGAAAGCCACGGCUAACUACGUG
rnacentral:rRNA from 1 species